rnacentral:rRNA from 1 species
UACGGAGGGUGCGAGCGUUGUCCGGAAUUACUGGGCGUAAAGCGCACGUAGGCGGCUUUCUAAGUCGGGGGUGAAAUCCUGGAGCUCAACUCCAGAACUGCCUUCGAUACUGGCGAUCUUGAGUCCGGAAGAGGUGAGUGGAACUCCUAGUGUAGAGGUGGAAUUCGUAGAUAUCAGGAGGAACACCGAUGGCGAAGGCAGGUCUCUGGGCCACUACUGACGCUGAGAAGCGAAAGCAUGGGGAGCGAACAGG